rnacentral:rRNA from 1 species
UACGAAGGGGGCUAGCGUUGUUCGGAAUUACUGGGCGUAAAGGGCGCGUAGGCGGCCAGCACAAGUCAGUUGUGAAAUCUCCGGGCUUAACUCGGAAAGGUCAACUGAUACUGUGCGACUAGAGUGCAGAAGGGGCAACUGGAAUUCUCGGUGUAGCGGUGAAAUGCGUAGAUAUCGAGAGGAACACCUGCGGCGAAGGCGGGUUGCUGGGCUGACACUGACGCUGAGGCGCGAAAGCCAGGGGAGCGAACGGG